UACGUAGGGUGCGAGCGUUGUCCGGAAUUAUUGGGCGUAAAGAGCUCGUAGGCGGUGUGUCACGUCGGCCGUGAAAACCUGUGGCUUAACUAUGGGCUUGCGGUCGAUACGGGCAUCACUGGAGUUCGGCAGGGGAGACUGGAAUUCCUGGUGUAGCGGUGAAAUGCGCAGAUAUCAGGAGGAACACCGGUGGCGAAGGCGGGUCUCUGGGCCGAUACUGACGCUGAGGAGCGAAAGCGUGGGGAGCGAACAGG
rnacentral:rRNA from 1 species